rnacentral:rRNA from 1 species
AACGAACGCUGGCGGCAUGCCUAACACAUGCCAGUCGAACGAGACCUUCGGGUCUAGUGGCGCACGGGUGCGUAACGCGUGGGAACCUGCCCUUAGGUUCGCAAUAACUCCCCGAAAGGGGUGCUAAUACCGGAUAAUGUCUUCGGACCAAAGAUUUUUCGCCUUUGGAUGGGCCCGCGUUGGAUUAGCUGGUUGGUAGGGUAAAAGCCUACCAAGGCGACGAUCCAUAGCUGGUCUGAUAGGAUGAUCAGCCACACUGGGGCUGAGACACGGCCCAGACUCCUACGGGAGGCAGCAGUGGGGAAUAUUAGACGAUGGGCGAAAGCCUGAUCAAGCAGUGCCGCGUGAGUGAUGAAGGCCUUAGGGUUGUAAAGCUCUUUUACCCGAGAUGAUAAUGACAGUACCGGGAGAAUAAGCUCCGGCUAACUCCGUG